rnacentral:rRNA from 1 species
CGGGACGGGUGAGUAAUGUCUGGGAAACUGCCUGAUGGAGGGGGGUAACUACUGGAAACGGUAGCUAAUACCGCAUAACGUCGCAAGACCAAAGAGGGGGACCUUCGGGCCUCUUGCCAUCGGAUGUGCCCAGAUGAGAUUAGCUAGUAGGUGGGGUAAAGGCUCACCUAGGCGACGAUCCCUAGCUGGUCUGAGAGGAUGACCAGCCACACUGGAACUGAGACACGGUCCAG